CACCGCGGUUAGACGAGAGAGCCCAAGUUGACAGAAAGCGGCGUAAAGGGUGGCCAAGGGUAAAUAUCACUAGAGUCGAAGUCCUCCCUGCACCGUCAUACGAAAUCUGGAGGAAAGAAGCCCGAUCACGAAAGUGACUCUAAUUAACCUGCAUCCACGAUAGCUAAGAAA
rnacentral:rRNA from 1 species